AGGUCACACAGCAUGUAAGAAGCCACACUGCAAUUCUGUAUCAGGUCUGCCUCUAAGCCUGCCCGCCUGCCUCUUCCUCCCUAACGUCCACUCCAAAGGGGUCCCGGAUCCAUGCUGCCUUUGGAUAAAAACUCAAGAAAUGCAUGUUCCUAGAGUCCUGUGGUGAAACUUGGAAGCAUUUUCCAAAAGAAGCAAGGUUACAUGUGCAGAGGCAGGCACACCCCCAAUAUUUACCUUCUGCACCAGUUAAUGCCGUGCUUUUACAGUAAGAGACUUUCACAUGGGAAACGGGGUUAGAAAUUCUAAAUAAUCAGAACACACACUGCGAUUUCAGCCCAGAGAAGCCCAGGGAGCCAUGAGGACUGGCGCAGCUCUAGUAGAGAACACAUUUAUGUGGAGAUCACCGAAGGCCACUGCUGGGAAAGGAGGCCACGGGUAAGGAGAGAUGUUCAGCGCUCAGCACUUCACUUCCAGCCUGCCUUCCUCCAUUACGCAUCUGUACUCUCAGGUUAUUCAAAACAGGCUGCUUGCUAUACAACUGGAGAUACUCUUAACUGGCGCACUUGCAAACACCUAGUGGUGAAUUAAGUUGUUCAGGACUGUUUUACGUUGCCUCAGAACUCGGAACACCGAAGGACACACACUAUGUAGUCAGGGUGAUGACUUUCCACGUCCUUUAGUAACAAACAUGUUCCAAACGGGUUAACAGCCUAACCAAGUCAGGAAGGAGGAGGAAAAAAACCCAACCAACCAGUCAGAUUUCAGCAACCCAGCAACACUUCCAAGUCCAAGACAACAGUAAGAUCACUGGACAACCCCCAAAUAGCCAGAAUGAGGUCAGGAAACCAUGGCUAUUCAAAGAUAAUUUCAGGAAACAAAAUUAAAGGCAUAAUCUUUGUCCCAAGGAAAAGUCCGAUGAGGUUAGAGGACUCUUCCCAGGAAUCCAUGCAAAUGAUGCUCCUUUUUAAGUGAUUUUACCAUCACUCGUGCAAGGAGAGAAAGCUUAUGAAAGUAAGACAUCAGAAAAAAGAAAUAAUCAAUCUUAGAAAGACAUGCAUCCAAUGUUCUCGCUACUUUACCAGCUAAGCCACAACUGAAACUGAAAGCUUUUCAUCUGCAAAGCUCAUUUACACAAAAUGCCUUUUUUCUCCAGUUAUGUUAGACAACUAUCUACAAUACAACACACAAUACACUCACAAGAAUGAGUAUGUAUGGGUGUACAUAUAUAGACAAGCACAAAAGACAAAUUCUGCACAGACCCUCAAGGAAUAAAAAUUUUAAUAGUAUGUCUUUGCAAACUACGUAAUCUGUAUUUCCAAAUAAAAAUAUUUUAUGUGCCAAACAGCGCAUGGUCAAAUUAAAAAUCUGUGCAACAGAUACAUAUAAAAAAAAUACUGCAAAAUUACCUAGUGUCCUAGAUACCACUAUUUUUUACUAUUCUUGGUCUUGUGGCAUUUUUUCUAUUUGUACAUUUUUAUAUAUUUAUGUACAGAAUAUACAGUUUACCUACACUUAGCAGUCUUCAUUUAUGCCUUUUUCCAUUUGACAUUAAAUUGUGAGCAUUUUCUGGGCCCCAAUAUCUUUGAAAUACAUAAAUAGUUAUCUAGUAUCCCAUUAUAUGGAUGUACAAUAACUUAUCAAUCCCCUUACUAUGGAUCAUUUAGUUUGUACCAAGUUUUCAUUCUAAAAGUGUUCCACUGAACACCUUUAUAUAAGAUUUUUAGUGCACAAGUGGUUAUCUCUUCAAGACCAAUUAACUAAUGGUAUUAUACUAUAAUAAAAUGAUAUAAUAAUGUUCAGGAUUCUGAUACAUAUUACUUAAUUGCUUUUCAAGAUGACUGUAGGAGUUCCCAAUUCUACUAGGAACAUAUAUGUGUACCCAAGAAGGUAUAUAUAAACUUAAUCUUAAAAUUUUGAUUUAAGAUUUAUAAGUUGAAGUUUUCCCCUUAAGAUUAUGCACAUUGUCUUAUUUGCAUAAGUUUUUACCAACAAAGAUUACACUGAAUUAUUUCAUAAGAUUAUGGGAAAUGCAGAGAUUAUAAGCAUUUGUGUUCAUGUUAGUAACUGAAAAAGAAACAAAAGUGAUUAUAAUAGAUCUGUUGUCUUGAUGAGUGAAGGUUUAAGUUUAAUUUACUCACAACAAGGACAGUUUUCCAGAAGAAGACCGCAAAUGAACCAAUUCCCAAGAAGGCAGUGAGAAGUACAGGCUUCCAUGGCAAGCCAUAAAAAUCAGGCCCAGGCUGAACGUCAUCAGGCAAUGUAGCAACUAACUGAAAGAGAAAUAGGAGAAAUAACAAGAAGCCAUGAAGGAAUUAACAAGAGAACAAAGAAUCAUCCACAGAAAUUCUAAAUCAAGCUUCACCAGGUAACUACCCCCUCAAAAAUCUUCAGGAGCUUCCACUGCUUCAAUAAAGAUGGGAUACUGGCAACCUCAUAUUUCUUGUUUGGCUUGAAGUGCGUUAUAAAUAUUAUGGGUCUAAGUUCGGGUUCCCUGGGGUGGCUCAGCGGUUUGGCGCCUGCCUUCGGCUCAGGGCGUGAUCCUGGAGAUCCAGGAUUGAGUCCCACAUCAGGCUCUGUGCAGGGAGCCUGCUU